CAAGCACCAACACCGGCUGAGGAAUGUAAACAGAGGCUGCCAGCUAACAUACUCCUCAUGGGCGUACAUCGUCAAAGUCCACCGUUUGAAUACCUUCAAACAUUUUUUCAAGGCCUGUUCGAUUUACGGGGUGAGCAGGUUCGACGUGACGCCGAGCAACCUCAACUCAAAACUGUCCAACUCUCCUCCUUCAAUACGUUUCAGUGACUUGACUGACUUCACCGAAAUAACAGAACCUGUGAGCCCGGUACCUCAAGAGCUGUUCCGGUUCCGCGAUUACGAACAGCUCCAGCACAUCUUCCAGGUAUGGAAGUUGGGUAGUUUGCUACACAUAUGCAACAUGGUUUUCUCUUGGAGGCUUGGCAGUAACUGGUAAAAAAUAUGAAAACUAUUUGGCUAUGUGUGAAGGUGUUGACUUCCUUCUCAAGUAACAAAAUAUCAAUGGAGGUUGGGGAGAAAGCUAUUUGUCUUGCUCUUAAAAGAGAUACAUAGAGUUAGAAGGGAGAAAGAUCAAACCUGGUUCGAACCUCUUGGGCAUUGGUGGGUCUGAUUCAAACAGGACAGGUCGAGAAAGAUCUGUUGCCUCCUCAGCGCGUUGGAAAACUGAUC